AAAAUCUGGCGGUCUUUGGCCGUCCGAGUUGUAGUCUGGAGAAGCGUCUUCCGCGUUGGACCGUGUACAAGUCUCUUGGAACAGGGCGUCAUAGAGGGUGAGAAUCCCGUCUUUGACACGGACUACCAAUGCUUUGUGAUGCGCUCUCAAAGAGUCGCGUUGUUUGGGAAUGCAGCGCAAAAUGGGAGGUG
rnacentral:rRNA from 1 species